UACGUAGGCAGCAAGCGUUGUUCGGAAUUACUGGGCGUAAAGAGUGUGUAGGCGGUGCUCUAAGUCUGUUGUGAAAUCCCGAGGCUCAACCUCGGGUCUGCAGUCGAUACGGGCGGACUGGAGUACUGCAGGGGAGACUGGAAUUCCGUGGUGUAGCGGUGAAAUGCGCAGAUAUCAGGAGGAACACCGGUGGUGUAGACGGCUUUCUGGACCGUAACUGACGCUGAGACACGAAAGCGUGGGUAGCGAACAGG
rnacentral:rRNA from 1 species